AUGCACGCUGGCGGCGUGCCUAAUACAUGCAAGUCGCGCUAACAGACGAGGAGCUUGCUCCUUUGACGUUAGCGGCGGACGGGUGAGUAACACGUGGAUAACCUACCUAUAAGACUGGGAUAACUUCGGGAAACCGGAGCUAAUACCGGAUAACAUGUUGAACCGCAUGGUUCAACAGUGAAAGACGGUCUUGCUGUCACUUAUAGAUGGAUCCGCGCCGCAUUAGCUAGUUGGUAAGGUAACGGCUUACCAAGGCAACGAUGCGUAGCCGACCUGAGAGGGUGAUCGGCCACACUGGAACUGAGACACGGUCCAGACUCCUACGGGAGGCAGCAGUAGGGAAUCUUCCGCAAUGGGCGAAAGCCUGACGGAGCAACGCCGCGUGAGUGAAGAAGGUCUUCGGAUCGUAAAACUCUGUUAUUAGGGAAGAACAAAUGUGUAAGUAACUAUGCACGUCUUGACGGUACCUAAUCAGAAAGCCACGGCUAACUACGUG
rnacentral:rRNA from 1 species